AUCCAGCUGACGAGUCACAAAUAGGACGAAACGUGCAUCCUGGAU
rnacentral:hammerhead_ribozyme from 1 species